GAGCCUUGGAUGGGGACUGCCUGGAAACGGGCUGGGCCUGCCUCGGACGCCGCCGGUGUCGCGGAUUCUCUUUCCGCCCGCUCCAUGGCGGUGGAUGCCUGACUGGAAGCCCGAGUGGGAUGCGGCUGACGCGGAAGCGGCUCUGCUCGUUUCUUAUCGCCCUGUACUGCCUAUUCUCCCUCUACGCUGCCUACCACGUCUUCUUCGGGCGCCGCCGCCAGGCGCCGGCCGGGUCCCCGCGGGGCCUCAGGAAGGGGGCGGCCCCCGCGCGGGAGAGACGCGGCCGAGAACAGUCCACUUUGGAAAGUGAAGAAUGGAAUCCUUGGGAAGGAGAUGAAAAAAAUGAGCAACAACACAGAUUUAAAACUAGCCUUCAAAUAUUAAAUAAAUCCACGAAGGGAAAAACAGAUCUCAGUGUACAAAUCUGGGGCAAAGCUGCCAUUGGUUUGUAUCUCUGGGAGCAUAUUUUUGAAGGCUUACUUGAUCCCAGCGAUGUGACUGCUCAAUGGAGAGAAGGAAAGUCAGUCGUAGGAAGAACACAGUACAGGUAUUAGUUGUAUUAGUUGUGCAACAUUAACCUUUGAUGUUUUGCUCUGCAAUAUUUUCUGUAAAUACUAAAAGAAAAAUAAUAGGAAAAUAUAUUUAUAAAAAUCUAUUCAACUUAUAAAGAAUAGAGAAGUAAAUCUCAUGAAUAUGUAUUCAUAAUUAAGCUUACUUGGACCUUAUGAAAUUGUAUAUUACAGAAUAGUCCUUUUUGGAAUCAUAUGUCUGUUUUAUUUUUACCUAAUUAUAUAGAAAAGUUCAUACUCCACAUCUUACAGCAUUUGAAUGGUGACAGCCAUUUAAAACAUUCUGUAUC
rnacentral:sRNA from 1 species